UACGAGUGCCCCAAGCGUUAUCCGGAAUCAUUGGGCGUAAAGGGUGUGUAGGUUGUCUUGUUAGUCUCUUGUGAAAUUCUUCGGCUUAACCGGGGGUCCGCAGGGGAAACGGCAAGACUAGAGGAUGUGAGAGGUGAAUGGAACUCAUGGUGUAGGGGUGAAAUCCGUUGAUAUCAUGGGGAACACCAAAAGCGAAGGCAAUUCACUGGCGCAUUCCUGACACUCAAACACGAAAGCGUGGGUAGCGAAUGGG
rnacentral:rRNA from 1 species